UAGAGUUGAAUCAUGGCUCAGAUUGAACGCUGGCGGCAGGCCUAACACAUGCAAGUCGAGCGGCAGCACGGGUACUUGUACCUGGUGGCGAGCGGCGGACGGGUGAGUAAUGCCUAGGAAUCUGCCUGGUAGUGGGGGAUAACGUUCGGAAACGGACGCUAAUACCGCAUACGUCCUACGGGAGAAAGCAGGGGACCUUCGGGCCUUGCGCUAUCAGAUGAGCCUAGGUCGGAUUAGCUAGUUGGUGGGGUAAUGGCUCACCAAGGCGACGAUCCGUAACUGGUCUGAGAGGAUGAUCAGUCACACUGGAACUGAGACACGGUCCAGACUCCUACGGGAGGCAGCAGUGGGGAAUAUUGGACAAUGGGCGAAAGCCUGAUCCAGCCAUGCCGCGUGUGUGAAGAAGGUCUUCGGAUUGUAAAGCACUUUAAGUUGGGAGGAAGGGCAUUUACCUAAUACGUAAGUGCUUUGACGUUACCGACAGAAUAAGCACCGGCUACU
rnacentral:rRNA from 1 species